CUUACCGGACCGACAGCAUAUGAAGGCCAGGCUGAAGACUUUGCCGGAUUAGCUGAGAGGCGGUGCAUGGCCGUCGUCAGUUCGUACUGUGAAGCAUCCUGUUAAGUCAGGCAACGAGCGAGACCCACGCCCACAGUUGCCAGCGUACUCUCUGGAGUGACGGGUACACUGUGGGGACCGCCGCUGCUAAAGCGGAGGAAGGAAUGGGCAACGGUAGGUCAGUAUGCCCCGAAUAUCCCGGGCUACACGCGAGCUACAAUGGUUGGUACAAUGGGUAUCUACCCCGAAAGGGGACGGGAAUCUCCUAAAACCAAUCUUAGUUCGGAUUGAGGGCUGCAACUCGCCCUCAUGAAGCUGGAAUCCGUAGUAAUCGCGUUUCAACAGAACGCGGUGAAUACGUCCCUGCUCCUU
rnacentral:rRNA from 1 species